rnacentral:rRNA from 1 species
UACAGAGGGUGCGAGCGUUAAUCGGAUUUACUGGGCGUAAAGCGUACGUAGGCGGCUUUUUAAGUCGGAUGUGAAAUCCCUGAGCUUAACUUAGGAAUUGCAUUCGAUACUGGGAAGCUAGAGUACGGCAGAGGGGGGUGGAAUUCCGCGUGUAGCAGUGAAAUGCGUAGAUAUCUGGAGGAAUACCGAUGGCGAAGGCAGCCAUCUGGCCUAAUACUGACGCUGAGGUACGAAAGCAUGGGGAGCAAACAGG